GAUCCUGGCUCAGGAUGAACGCUAGCUACAGGCUUAACACAUGCAAGUCGAGGGGAAACGACAUCGAAAGCUUGCUUUUGAUGGGCGUCGACCGGCGCACGGGUGAGUAACGCGUAUCCAACCUGCCCAUCACUUGGGAAUAACCUUGCGAAAGUAAGACUAAUGCCCAAUGAUAUCCCACGAAGGCAUCUGAAAGAGAUUAAAGAUUUAUCGGUGAUGGAUGGGGAGUGCGU
rnacentral:rRNA from 1 species